CAGAGACCAGAUCAUCUAAUUGUCCUGGUGAGCACAAAACUGAAAAUAAAGGAGCCCCUGAUCAGUCACGUGACAGACACCAGUGAUGCUUUUCGGACCCCAUUGACUUGUAAAGGGGUCUGUAAUUUUGUCAUGGUGAACAUAAUUAUGAUGUCAUGGUUUCUGGACAAAAUGAUGGACUAUGCAACAGAGGUUCUGAAUGGAGUACCCAAUGCAGAUUGAGCUGCUAGUGUAGAUCAAGAGGGUCAAAUAUGGAUAAUGGCAGUGAAGAACUGGAUAAACUUCAGAUUCUAAAUCCCAUGUGUAACUAUGGCAGGGUUCUUUUGAUGAGAUGUCAUCUGGUUUGAUGGUGAGCUUGAGGUGGUUGCUUCAGAAGGCAUUUGUGGUAUAUCAGAGGCUAGGACUGUCUCCGGGACUCCACAGAACCUUAUAUUGUUUCUCCUUCCAUGGUUCUCCUGGUCUUCCAGUGCUGUGUGGACCAUAUUAAGGAUUGGGUGCCCAGUUAAGAUCUCUCCAAGAGGACUAGUUUGUCCAAGGACACCUAGAUGUCCCACAAUGCUUCUGGGAAAACACUCUAUCACAACCUUUGGCUUAUUGCGCUAGGAAUGGCAUUUUCUUCUCCUACCUUCAGAAUGGAGAACAUGAGCAGCCCUGCAUGUCAAAUCUGACAGAACUGCUGACAUAGACUCCACAUUUUGUUAACAUUUAUAACUGCUUUCUUCGGGAGAACACGGCUGGAGCUUGGCUUGAAGAGAAACCUGUAGGAGACAGCAGUGUCACCACACAUCAGGACUGCAAGUGAAAAUUCACAUGAGAAAUUUUUGAAAACUAAUGACACUCGUACAGAAAAGCAAGACAAUGUUGACCUCUGAGAUGAAGAUAAACUAUUUUGUUGCAGAAAUUUUUGAGACUGAAAAUCAGUUCCCUUCAAUUCAAUGGCGUUAUUUUGGCGGCAAGCACAUAGCAAGCCCCAUUCAGAUGAACAGAACAAAAUCUGCCAUGUGUGAAGGCACCCCUAGAGAAGUGACACACGCAGUUUUUUUGCGUAAGUUUUUGCGUCAGUUUUAGGUGCCAGAAGUGGAUCCAGCAGGAAGGAAGGAGAAGUACAAGUCCUUACUUUAAUAUUUCUCAUCCUCUCUCAUUCCUCUUCUGGCUAUGGUUCAAAAAACUGCCUAAAAAACUGUGAGUGAUGCCCCCAGAGUGUAUAAAUGGAGCACACCCUGCAAGGAUAUGAGGGUGUAUGGGAGGUUGAAUGUCCAGACAGUUUUCAGCUGGAAGUUUAAUAAUCUUUCUGGGAUCAGUUCUAUUAGGCCUCAUGCACACGAACGUAUUUUUUAACGUCCCGCAAAACGUGGUUCCGUUGU